rnacentral:lncRNA from 1 species
AUAAAUAUUUAUAUAUUUUAUAUUUUAUAUAUAAUGACCUUUAUCUGAAUAAUCCUUAAACUGAAGUCUGUCAUUGAACUUCGGAGGCUUUGGCUUUGGAAAUCAAGGUUAAUUACAGUUUUGUUGCUGUUGUUUCAACAUUGUUUGGUUUCGUUUUAUUCAGAGUAUCACUAAAGAGCGGAAAACAUUGCAGUGGGAAAGUUGUCACAACAGAACACUUUUUAAUAGGACUUUCAAGUCCAAUUCUUUCUUUUCAUCUCCUUUUCUUUGGAGAAUGAAGGAGCUGUGCUCCAAAGAGCGCAGGAGUUGCCACUUAGGCUGAGUUGAAAUGUGCUCAUGCUGCUGUGUCCUCUCAUUCCUGAGAAUGCCCAGAAUGAUCAGGCUCAAAGGAAGGUGUAAGAAACUCCCAUUAGUAAGAUUACAGGGUCAGAUGUGGCCAUCUAAUCUUCUCCACCAUUAACUCUCACCCUGCACAAUCAGGUACCUGGAGGUCUCUCGCAACUGCAGGCACCGCUCCUGUGUUGCACAGAGAGCAGGGCAGUGAUGAGCACUUAGAAAAAUCGUGGUGUAGUGUUUCUGUGAAAAAAUGAACGUUAAAAAAAUGGGCAUUGGUAAUGGACAUUGGCCGUUUAAAAGUUUGUGUUCUUCAGAAGAUUCAUCCAGGAUUUCUCUGGUGCAGUUAAAAUGCCAUGCAAGAGCACAGCUGAUCACUUUUUGUAACAGCACUGCUGAAAAAAUAUCUAUAACUAAUGCAUUCUUCUUCAUUAGCAAACAUCAUUUCUUGUGGCAUCACUUCUGUUAUGUUUUCUUGCAGUGACCCAAAAACCUGGCUGCUUUGGAAACUGGAUAGUAUUGGCAAUCAAAGAAAUAUGAGUGAUGUUUUGCACCUCAAGACUUCAUUCUGUAAGAUGUAUCGACCGGAUUGCCUACCUGUAACUCAGCUUUGUAAGCAGCCUCCCGAGGUUAGCCACGGUGGUAUUACAUGCCUUGUGCUUUGCCAGCCCCUACAAGCCAGCCAAAGUCUGUUAAAGCCUUCAGAGCACAAAACACUGAUAAGAUGGAUCACUAACAGGUAUGCAUCAGGGAUAAUGCAAAGGUGUUCCAUGUACAACAACCUAAAAUUAGCUGCUUUUGACUCAAAGCAGUAGUAACUGCCUCCUAUGUUACCUCUGCUGGAACAGAGUGGCUAAUGUAUGUAAGGGAAAUAAUGAUACUGAGUAUGUACAUUAUAUACAUAUAUACCAUAUAUAUGUAUGUAUAUGUGUAUAUGCUAGCAUGUAAAAGUCAUUUUUUGAAAAGUUCUGGGAAAUUCAGGCAUAUGGCUUGUUUUGGACUGUUAUAAAAAAAAUGAUAAUUCUGGUGAUAAAGCUAAAAAUGUAUACAUUAGGACCUACAUUCUUAAUGUAGGUCAGUGGAGGCACUUCUCAGACAUAUUAGUGUUUUGGACACUUAAUCUUAGCAGCAUAUUGCAUCUCCUGGAAUAGGUUAGCAGAGGCAAUGCAGGAGAAAUUGCUGCAUCUGAAGUCAUUCAGAAAUAUUGCCAAGUUUCUCAGGAACCAGAAUUGCAGGAUAAUGAGUAUUAUAUUUAAUUUGUGAUGGAAAGGCAACCGUGGGGAGUUCAGCGGAGGCAACUCAGAUCAUCUCGGCUCUGUGGGGGAGGGAGAAUUUAUAACUAUAGCUAGCUAAAAAGAAGAAAGCUGUCUGUGUAUUUGUGUGUAUAUAUAUAUUUAUAUAUAUGUAUAUACAAAUCUGUGUAUGUGUAGAUAACACUGCGUGUAUAUAUGUAUGUAUGUAUAUGCCCAUAAUGUAUAAUAUGUGUAUCUAUAUAUAUGUAUACAUUUAUAUAAAUUUAUAUUUCUCUAUAUAAAUAGUCAUGCAACUAUGGAAAAUAACAUUUCACCGGUGUGUCCUUUUCUUUAAAACCCAACAAGAAGCUUAUCCCAUUAACAUCAUAUUGCACAAAGUUCUUGUUAUCAUUUACACAUAGAUAGGAGUGUUGCUCUAUGGCUGAGCACCAGCCUGGAAGGUUUUUACUGCUCCAGAGGACUCCAAGCAAGUCAUUAGCUAUUCCACAGCUGUUCUUCAUAUGUGAAAUAAAGCAGUGGCCAAAGAGACUCAGGGGCUGCUUUUAAAAGUGAAGGAAGAUGGGGUGUUUGACUGUUUAUGCUUUGGAAAUCCCUGUCAUGCUUUGUGGAGUUUUGAUGGUGAAAUACCCUCAGUAGUGAUUACUUUGGUUGCUGUUAAUGUUCCAGCUAAUGGUAACGGCUUCUGAACAGAGGGAAAAAGAUGAAUUUCCUGCUCUAAAGUAAGUGAUCUGGAGUCUGAUUACUUUGACUAGAUGAUGUAUGGAUUUCCAUUUAGGGUUAGGAUGUUAGGCGGUAAAUCAAGAAUCUUAGCUCAGUGAGCUUCUAGUUCAGGAUAUCUCUUUUAUGUUAUAAUUGAUUUUAAAUAAUUUCACUUCAUCAUCAGAGUAAGCUAUACCUUAAUUCAUUAUAAGCUCAAAGAAUUUCUCAACUGGAAAGCCAUUUAUAUCAGGGUGAAUCUUGCACUUGGCUUCAGUGGGGCUGAAUCAGCUCAGAGGGUUUCAUUAAGCACAGCACUAACAUUAAAACAGUCUUGUAGUUGUGCAACUAUUAACCAAAAGUGUAAUUUUGUAAUAAAAGUGAGCCUAAAAAUGAUUUGCUAGUUAUGUAUUCUAUGAUUAUAGCAUCUUUCCAUCAAAGAGACCUUUAGGCAGUUACAGGGGUUCUGGUUCUGUGCAGCUGACUGCUGCUCCCUGAUUUGAGCUGCACGUAUUGCCCUCCCCCAGCAUCCCCUCAGCCCAAACGGUGGCUAGUCACAGAACUGCCACGUGCCUUGUGCUGGUGUGAAUGUAGGUCAUGGGGAAGCAGCGCUGUCCUCACGGUGGGGGCUCUAGCACAAC